GUGGGGAAUUUUGGACAAUGGGCGCAAGCCUGAUCCAGCAAUGCCGCGUGCAGGAAGAAGGCCUUCGGGUUGUAAACUGCUUUUGUACGGAACGAAACGGUCCUGGUUAAUACCUGGGGCUAAUGACGGUACCGUAAGAAUAAGCACCGGCUAACUACGUGCCAGCAGCCGCGGUAAUACGUAGGGUGCGAGCGUUAAUCGGAAUUACUGGGCGUAAAGCGUGCGCAGGCGGUUUUGUGAGACAGGCGUGAAAUCCCCGGGCUUAACCUGGGAAUUGCGCUUGUGACUGCAAGGCUGGAGUGCGGCAGAGGGGGAUGGAAUUCCGCGUGUAGCAGUGAAAUGCGUAGAUAUGCGGAGGAACACCGAUGGCGAAGGCAAUCCCCUGGGCCUGCACUGACGCUCAUGCACGAAAGCGUGGGGAGCAAACAGGAUUAGAAACCCGUGUAGUCC
rnacentral:rRNA from 1 species